rnacentral:rRNA from 1 species
GACGAACGCUGGCGGCGUGCCUAACACAUGCAAGUCGAACGGAGAUAAGCGCUGAUGAUUUAGCUUGCUAGAGAUUCUUGCUUAUCUUAGUGGCGGACGGGUGAGUAACGCGUGAGCAACCUGCCUUUCAGAGGGGGAUAACGUCUUGAAAAGGACGCUAAUACCGCAUGAUAUUAUGGAGCCACAUGGCUCUAUAAUCAAAGGAGCAAUCCGCUGAAAGAUGGGCUCGCGUCCGAUUAGGUAGUUGGCGGGAUAACAGCCCACCAAGCCGACGAUCGGUAGCCGGACUGAGAGGUUGAACGGCCACAUUGGGACUGAGACACGGCCCAGACUCCUACGGGAGGCAGCAGUGAGGGAUAUUGGUCAAUGGGGGAAACCCUGAACCAGCAACGCCGCGUGAGGGAUGACGGCCUUCGGGUUGUAAACCUCUGUCCUCUGUGAAGAUAAUGACGGUAGCAGAG